rnacentral:rRNA from 1 species
GACGAACGCUGGCGGCGUGCUUAACACAUGCGAGUCGAACGGAAAGGCCCUGCUUUUGUGGGGUGCUCGAGUGGCGAACGGGUGAGUAACACGUGAGUAACCUGCCCUUGACUUUGGGAUAACUUCAGGAAACUGGGGCUAAUACCGGAUAGGAGCUCCUGCUGCAUGGUGGGGGUUGGAAAGUUUCGGCGGUUGGGGAUGGACUCGCGGCUUAUCAGCUUGUUGGUGGGGUAGUGGCUACCAAGGCUUUGACGGGUAGCCGGCCUGAGAGGGUGACCGGCCACAUUGGGACUGAGAUACGGCCCAGACUCCUACGGGAGGCAGCAGCGGGGAAUAUUGCACAAUGGGCGGAAGCCUGAUGCAGCAACGCCGCGUGCGGGAUGACGGCCUUCGGGUUGUAAACCGCUUUCGCCUGUGACGAAGCGUGAGUGACGGUAAUGGGUAAAGAAGCACCGGCUAACUACGUG